rnacentral:rRNA from 1 species
ACGAACACUGGCGGCGUGCUUUAACACAUGCAAGUCGAACGGGGCGAAGUGAUAGCUUGCUAUUAUGGAGCCUAGUGGCAAACGGGUGAGUAACGCGUAGGCAACCUGCCCUUCAGAUGGGGACAACAUCUCGAAAGGGGUGCUAAUACCGAAUGACGUUUCCUGGUCGCAUGACCUGGAACCAAAGGCCGGGCAACCGGUCACUGAAGGAUGGGCCUGCGUCUGAUUAGCUAGUUGGUGGGGUAACGGCCUACCAAGGCGACGAUCAGUAGCCGGUCUGAGAGGAUGAACGGCCACAUUGGAACUGAGACACGGUCCAGACUCCUACGGGAGGCAGCAGUGGGGAAUCUUCCGCAAUGGGCGCAAGCCUGACGGAGCAACGCCGCGUGAGUGAAGAAGGGUUUCGACUCGUAAAGCUCUGUUGUCGGGGACGAAUGUCAGGACUCAGAAUAUGGGUUCUGAAUGACGGUACCUGACGAGGAAGCCACGGCUAACUACGUG